rnacentral:lncRNA from 1 species
GUACUCAGAGCAGGAGUACCAGCUCUACCUUCACGAUGAUGCAUGGACUAAGGCAGAGACUGACCAUCUCUUUGACCUCAGCCGCCGAUUUGAUUUGCGCUUCGUAGUUAUUCACGAUCGGUAUGACCACCAGCAGUACAAGGUGGCAGAGGAGGAGUACCUGCUCCAGGAGCUUCGUAAGAUUGAGGCCCGGAAAAAAGAGCGGGAGAAGCGCAGCCAAGACCUGCAGAAGCUGAUUACCGCAGCAGACACCACCGCAGAGCAGCGGCGCACAGAACGCAAGGCUCCCAAGAAGAAGCUACCCCAGAAGAAGGAGGCCGAGAAGCCGGCUGUUCCUGAGACUGCGGGCAUCAAGUUCCCAGACUUUAAGUCAGCGGGUGUGACAUUACGGAGCCAGCGGAUGAAGCUGCCCAGCUCUGUGGGUCAGAAGAAGAUCAAGGCGCUGGAACAGAUGCUGCUGGAACUUGGUGUGGAGCUGAGCCCUACGCCCACAGAGGAGCUGGUGCAUAUGUUCAAUGAGUUGCGGAGUGACCUGGUGUUACUCUACGAGCUCAAGCAGGCCUGUGCCAACUGUGAAUAUGAGCUGCAGAUGCUACGGCACCGGCAUGAGGCUCUGGCUCGGGCAGGAGUGCUGGGGGGCCCUGCCACACCAGCAGUGGGACCAACCCCAGCGUCUGCUGAGCCAACAGUGUCUGAAUCUGGACUUGGUCUUGACCCUAGCAAGGACACCAUCAUUGAUGUCGUGGGUGCACCGCUCACACCCAAUUCGCGGAAACGACGGGAAUCAGCCUCCAGCUCAUCUUCUGUGAAGAAAGCCAAGAAACCAUAAGGGGCCAUCAGAGUUGGUGGUAUGGUGUAAAUAGAGCUGUUAAGUUGGACUGA